GGGGAUGUAGCUCAGUGGUAGAGCAUGUGCUUAGCACAUGUGAGACCCAGGGUUCAUUCCCC
rnacentral:tRNA from 1 species